GGCUCGGUGGUGGAUGGUCCACACCUGCUUUUUUGUAGAAACUUGUCUUCAACAACAUUAGCCGGCAAGAGAGGCCUGUUCGAAUCAGGCUCGAGCCA